UUUAAUUGAAUUUAAUUGAUUUUUUUUUUAUCAGUUUUCACACACUGUUUUCUUUAUUUGACUUUAGUUCAGCCGAAUCCAUCUGUCACAGAUCGGAGUCUAAAUUACCCGAUUUUGACAUCUAGUUAUUGUUUCUUGCCUUUUUACAGAGUAAAGUACGAUAUGGUGUCUGCUUUAUCAGAGUAGGAAAUCAGUGCUGUACAUUUUAUGCUUAUGUUUUCUGUAUCUUGACAGGUCCAGCUACACAAUAAGAUGGAGCAGGAAGUUGUGGAUGUGUGCCUUGGCUUGCAGCAUCUCCAUGGCUCAACUCAUUCAGUACAGAGUCCAGAACAUAGGUGUCCUGCCUCCCUCACUAAGAUUCAUCAGGAAGGCUUUACUGCAUACCCAGAGGAGGAUGAAUCCUGUUGCAGACACAGCAGCAUGGAGCACAGCAGCAUCAGCCUUCACAGCCCUCUGCACAACAGUCGGCCGAGGUGAGGAUCAGCAAUCUGUAUAAGCAUCAGGAACAUCAUGAUACUGUAUAGGGCUUUUCACACUGCGCUUAACCCCGGGUUAUCGUCGUUCCAAACCCAGCUUUUAACCCCAGGUAAAGAAACGGAAUUUAGAUAAGCACUUUUUACCCAGGCUUAUGAAACCCUGCUCCGGAGGUGAGAGAGCACCACUUUUGUAGGUGUUAACCCUGCAUUGCGAUGCCUAACUUGUACAGUGUGAAAUGAUGCCGUGUUAGAAUGUUACAGCUUGAUGCUUAGCAACAGACAUCCAAUCCAAGGCCUCAUAUUUACAUGCUUUGGACAGUCGCGGAAACCAAGCGUGUUGUAUAAACAGCCAUUUCAGCAUUUGAGGGAAAAAAACGUCAACUGGUGAUGGAAACCGUGUCAGCUGGAGUGAAGAAAACACUGUUUCAUUCUUACUUUUAUAGCCCGAAAGAUCUAUUCAGGAAAAACGUUUUAGCAGUUGGUGACAUAUAAUGAGGAAGCGCAGUACCAGAGCAGUUAUGUAACAAGUCGC
ensembl:lncRNA